rnacentral:rRNA from 1 species
GUGGGGAAUCUUGCGCAAUGGGCGAAAGCCUGACGCAGCCAUGCCGCGUGAAUGAUGAAGGUCUUAGGAUUGUAAAAUUCUUUCACCGGGGACGAUAAUGACGGUACCCGGAGAAGAAGCCCCGGCUAACUUCGUGCCAGCAGCCGCGGUAAUGCGAAGGGGGCUAGCGUUGCUCGGAAUUACUGGGCGUAAAGGGCGCGUAGGCGGACAGUUUAGUCAGAGGUGAAAGCCCAGGGCUCAACCUUGGAAUUGCCUUUGAUACUGGCUGUCUUGAGUACGGGAGAGGUGAGUGGAACUCCGAGUGUAGAGGUGAAAUUCGUAGAUAUUCGGAAGAACACCAGUGGCGAAGGCGACUCACUGGCCCGUUACUGACGCUGAGGCGCGAAAGCGUGGGGAGCAAACAGGAUUAGAUACCCGAGUAGUCC